rnacentral:tRNA from 1 species
UUAAUUGAAGCCAAAAAGAGGCUUAUCACUGUUAAUGAUAGAACUGAGUAAAUUCUCCAAUUAAA